AGCGAACGCUGGCGGCAUGCCUAACACAUGCAAGUCGAGCGCUCCCAGCAAUGGGGGAGCGGCGGACGGGUGAGUAACGCGUAGGAACGUAUCCUGAGGUGGGGGAUAACCCUGGGAAACUAGGGCUAAUACCGCAUGAUGGCGAGAGCCCAAAGAUUUAUCGCCUUGGGAGCGGCCUGCGUCUGAUUAGCUUGUUGGUGGGGUAAUGGCUCACCAAGGCGACGAUCAGUAUCUGGUUUGAGAGGACGAUCAGACACACUGGAACUGAGACACGGUCCAGACUCCUACGGGAGGCAGCAGUGGGGAAUUUUCCGCAAUGGGCGAAAGCCUGACGGAGCAAUACCGCGUGAGGGAUGACGGCCUAUGGGUUGUAAACCUCUUUUUUCUAGGGAGGAAUAAAUGACGUGUACCUGAAGAAUAAGCAUCGGCUAACUCCGUGCCAGCAGCCGCGGUAAGGCACGACUGU
rnacentral:rRNA from 1 species